AGAAGCGGCUCGGAGUGUUCUGGAAGUGGCAGGAGCACGACUCCCUUAACUCUGGUGCAGGGUUUACCUCGGCUCCCUCGGGACGGGUUCCGUGCAGCUCCUGCUUCCUCCCUUCUCUUUCCCAGUGCCAUCCCUGGCGAGGGGGAAAAAAAAAAACACGGCCAGGAGACUUCCCACCCCUGCUUUGCUAUUUUUGUACCUCCGUGACAGAAAAACAAAACCCUGAGGAAAAGUCAGGCGACUUCAUUCCCUGCCGUCCGCGCCGGGGCCUCGACUACUGCUGGCGUCCGCGGCUUUCGCCCGCCGCUCCACAGAGACGGGGUCUUAUUAUGUUGCCCAUGCUGGUCGUGAACUCUUGGCCUCAAGCAGUCCUCAAACCUUAGCCUCCCAAAGCGCUAGGAUUACAGGUGGAUAAAACCUUGUAUGCAUCAACUACCUCUCUUUCAAGAUGGAAUUUUCAGAACACAUGGUCUGGGAUUGGAGCUGGAGCUUGGAAAUAUUGAGUGGG
rnacentral:lncRNA from 1 species